AGACAGAAAACAUAUCUGCCCCUAUAGAACCAACAAAUAUGGAGAGUAUUAUCUCCUUCUCUUGCCUGGGUCUUAUAUAAUAAAUGUUACAGUCCCUGGACAUGAUCCACACAUCACAAAGGUGAUUAUUCCGGAGAAAUCCCAGAACUUCAGUGCUCUUAAAAAGGAUAUUCUACUUCCAUUCCAAGGGCAAUUGGAUUCUAUCCCAGUAUCAAAUCCUUCAUGCCCAAUGAUUCCUCUAUACAGAAAUUUGCCAGACCACUCAGCUGCAACAAAGCCUAGUUUGUUCUUAUUUUUAGUGAGUCUUUUGCACAUAUUCUUCAAAUAAAGUAAAAUGUGAAACUCAACCCACAUCACCACCUGGAAUCAGGGAUUGCUCACUCCAGGUUACUGCAACCCUAACUCACUCUAGUGGGACCUUGACUGGAGAAACUCCACGAUCUUCCUGAAGAAGAGAAAUGGAUGUUUCCAAAUUCCACAAUAAGCAAUAUGUGGUGAUAAUGAAAAGAAUGAUUCAGUCUUGACGGUGAAUGGAAGACACUUACCUAACAAGUACUGCUCAUUUACACUCAAAUUAAUCUUGAAGUAGUCUUAAAAUGUGUAAGAAGUUAAAACUUGAGAAGCAAAAAAAUGCCUGCAAAAAGAAGAUCAUUUUGUAUACAGAGAACCGGAUGAAUAUAAGCAAUGAAGAUGAACAUUUAUUGAUCUUCUACAUACAAGACUUCACCAUAAGGCCAGGAGCAGUGGCUCACACCUUGUAAUCCCAGCACUUUGGGAGGCCAAGGUGGGCGGAUCACCCUGAGGUUAGGAGUUCAAAACCAGCCUGACCAACAUGGUGAAACCCUGUCUCUACUAAAUAUUAGCGGGGUGUGGUGGCGGGCACCUGUAAUCGCAGCCUUUCAGGAGGCUGAGACAGGAGAAUCGCUUGAACCCUAGAGGCGGAGUUUGCAGUGAGCCGAGAUAGUGCCAUUGUACUCCAGCUUGGGCAACAGAGUAAGACUC
rnacentral:lncRNA from 10 species